rnacentral:rRNA from 1 species
CAGUCGCCGCGGUAAUACGUAGGUGGCAAGCGUUGUCCGGAAUUAUUGGGCGUAAAGGGCUCGCAGGCGGUUUCUUAAGUCUGAUGUGAAAGCCCCCGGCUCAACCGGGGAGGGUCAUUGGAAACUGGGGAACUUGAGUGCAGAAGAGGAGAGUGGAAUUCCACGUGUAGCGGUGAAAUGCGUAGAGAUGUGGAGGAACACCAGUGGCGAAGGCGACUCUCUGGUCUGUAACUGACGCUGAGGAGCGAAAGCGUGGGGAGCGAACGGGAUUAGAUACCCCCGUAGUCCCUGUCUCUUAUAC